rnacentral:rRNA from 1 species
GAUGAACGCUAGCUACAGGCUUAACACAUGCAAGUCGAGGGGAAACGGCAUCGUAAGCUUGCUUUUGAUGGGCGCCGACCGGCGCACGGGUGAGUAAUGCGUAUCCAACCUGUUCAUCACUUGGGAAUAACCCUGCGAAAGUAACACUAAUUCCCAAUGACAUCCCACGAAGGCAUCCGAAUGGGAUUUAUGAUGUAUCGGUGAUGGACGCGGAUGCGUCUGAUUAUCUUGUUGGCGGGGUGACGGCCCACCAAGGCAACGAUCAGUAGGGGUUCUGAGAGGAGGGUCCCCCACAUUGGAACUGAGGCACGGUCCCAACGCCUACGGGAGGCAGCAGUGGGGGAGAUUGGUCAAUGGGCGAGGGCCUGAUCCAGCCAAGUAGCGUGCAGGAUGACGGCCCUAUGGGUUGUGUACUGCUUUUAUGAGGAAAUAAAGUGGGUCACGUGUGACUUUUUGAAUGUACCUUAUAAAUAAGGACCGGCUAACUCCGUG